rnacentral:rRNA from 1 species
GACGAACGCUGGCGGCGUGCUUAACACAUGCAAGUCGAACGGAGUUACGUAUGAAGUAUUUCGGUACGGACUACAUAACUUAGUGGCGAACGGGUGAGUAACACGUGGGCAACCUGCCCUUAACCGGGGGAUAACAUUGUGAAAACAGUGCUAAUACCGCAUAACAGAGUAUCGGGCAUCCGAUAUUUUUAAAAGGAGCAAUCCGGUUUAGGAUGGGCCCGCGUCCAAUUAGCUAGUUGGUGAGGUAACGGCUCACCAAGGCUACGAUUGGUAGCCGAACUGAGAGGUUGAUCGGCCACAUUGGGACUGAGACACGGCCCAGACUCCUACGGGAGGCAGCAGUGGGGAAUAUUGGGCAAUGGGCGAAAGCCUGACCCAGCGACGCCGCGUGAAGGAUGAAGGUCUUCGGGAUUGUAAACUUCUUUGAUCAGGGAAGAAAGAAAUGACGGUACCUGAAGAACAAGCCAGGCUAACUACGUGCCAGCAGCCGCGGUAUCAUACUCGUA